GUUCUGGGAACCAGUGGAUGACGCAUCUCUUGAAAAGUUCUGGGAACCAGUGGUUUGCAAAACAUAGUUCUGAUGACAUGAGAACUCAGCAAGUCACAGUUUGAAAGCUGAGACUGGAUGCCUGGGAAAGAAACACUGAUGUCUGAAAGGAAACAGGGCCUCAGGAAGGAUACGAAAGGAAGAUUACACUUUUAGCUUAAGGUUUGAAACACCAGGCUUCAUACUCCAUGUAAUUUACUGAUUCCUUCAUUUCUAUGAAGCUAAAGAAGACCUGAAGAUACCAGUGUAUCCCAGGAGAUGGAGAUCUUAAAGAUCCUGACUCUUAAAGGGACAGGAAAAUGAGUCUACUUCGUUGCUGUUGUGUGUACCACAUAUUGAGGAGUUAUGGAUAAACAACAGCAGCAGCUAGUGAAGCAUCUGUAUUUGGCUGGCCACACUAAUGGACAAAAAGGAGAAUUUUCUUCCUAAUUCUUCAUUAACAUUAGUGAUUAUGUGUUUAUUUGCUGAUUACAGAUAACUCAGGGCAGAAAACCGUGACAAGAAGGUAAGAGAUUGUGUGAAACAGAUGGAGAAAUGUACUGGGAGGGAGGAAAGGGAAAGAGUGAGGUCAUUGCCCUGGAGAUUAAAGCACAGUUCAAGACUUCUUCCUAUCAGAGAGGAAUAUAGCAGAGGAAUAGUUUUAGAGGUUGGUUUUCAUCUGUGUUUGUUUGUUUGUUUGAUUUGAGUACGUAACAGUAAGGAGUAUAGAAUAGGAAGUGAGCAGUCAGAACACAGGUGAUGUAACAGAUUUUCACUUUUAUGUUGUUGCUUUAUGGCAAAUGACUAGAAAUGUUUACCCUAAGAGUGCCGACCCUGAUACAUGGCUACUGACUGCUGGUUAUUUGUACAAGUUUCAUUAUGGUGGACCAGCAGCAGCUGUGUUUCACAGGGUGUGGUAGCAGUACAAACUGACAUAGUAAUUUAUUUAUUAGUAGUGUCACUUAGUUUGAAAAAAUGUAAUAUCUGUAAUACAGAUUUGCAUAUAUUUUACACAAGAAAGAUUUUAUUUUCCAAAAGUGCAUUUAGAUAUUUUAAAAAUAUUUCAGCACUUUCAGCAACCUCAAGCUUGUAUGAGUUACCAGAACAAUCUCUAUGUAUUACUCAGACUGAAUCACUUUGUAUUUUAGGGUAAUGAAUGGCAGUAUUAAGGUAGUUCUGUUAACAUUUGACUACUGUCUCUGUUGCUUUACCAUAAUUAUUCUCCUUGUGACAUGUUGCUGUAAACCUGGGGAGAUGUGUAUAUUAUAGUAAAAAUUUAAACACUUUAGAAUCUCUAAAUUAAGCAGAUAAAUAGAAAAUGUUAAGCAUUUAUUGCGUAUUUCAUUUUCUGAUCUCAGUGCAUUUCCCAGUGAAACAAAAAAUCCUGAACAGCUUUAUUAAUAUAUUUCAUGGCAUUCCUGUGUUAUGGGAACAAUAUAUUCUCAAGCGCUCCAUGCAUCUGAAAUUUGUCUCGAUGUGGCCCAUUUAUUUUAAUUUCAGUCUGUCAGUAGAAAAAAAGAAGUAAUUAAACUUGUGACUAGCAUGGAGAAACGUUUUGCGUUCUAAACUGUAGCUUGAUACUCAGUAGUUUCUUUAUAUUUCUUCCAGUUGUCAGAUCAAAGUCUCUCAAGUACUAUAACUCAGCCAUGCUUUGAUUAAUUACUUCACACAAUGAAUUUGCAAAUUAUAUUUCUGAAGUGAUUUAUGUACUUUUAACUCCAAUCAACUCUCUCUCCUCCCUGCUUUUUUUUCCUUCCUCUCUACUCCAAUCUCUGUUCUGAUGUUAUUUUAUGCUUAACAAAUCCGUAUAAACAGAGCAAAGUCUUACCU